AACCGGUUCCAUGCUGUAUGCUAUGAAAGUUAAUAUUUACAUACAUAUGUGUAUAAAUAAGCGAAGCUGUAGUUAUUUACUUAUAUUAUUAUCAUAUGUAAAGUUUAAGUUGAUAAAGUUAAAGCUAAUUCAAGAUUGCUCGCGCAUUUUUUUAUUUAAAUAAUGUUGACGUACACGUUCGCUUGGAUUGUUUGUGUCACAAUAGUAAAUUGUUCCCCAUUAUUAAAUAAAAAUAUGAAUGGGAGCUAUAAGCCAAAUACUUUGUUGGAUGAAAACACCCAUAAUCUAUUUCUGAUGCGUUUUAUUUACGGGAUUGCUGUUAAUAUGGGAAUAGAAGAUCAACUUGAAGAUCCAUUCAAUGGAUCAUUUUUACCUCCCAAUGCUGAUGAUGGUUUUGGAAUAAGUGAAUAUAGUGAUGACAACGGUGGUGAAAUUUUUUUAGGAAAUUUGUUUGAUUACGAUGUUUAGCUAGGAAACAAUUUUCUAAUUAAAUAUGAAAUAGGGUUUUAACUAAGAUGCACACAUAAAAUUUAAGAUUUAAAUAUAAGUAAUUUAAUUAAUAAAAGUACUCUAUAAAAAGACACAUAUGUAAAAUAUCGAAAUCUGAAUUUUUAAGAAUUCCAUGUAAUAAAAACAGAUUGCUAUAAAUUAUUUAAUUAUAAUAUUUGGUGCUACAAAUGAU